rnacentral:rRNA from 1 species
GACGAACGCUGGCGGCGUGCUUAACACAUGCAAGUCGAACGGAAAGGCCUGCUUUCCCUUGUGGAUUGCGGGUGCUCGAGUGGCGAACGGGUGAGUAACACGUGAGUGAUCUGCCCCCAACUUGGGUAUAAGCCUGGGAAACUGGGUCUAAUUCCCGAUAGGACUGCAGGGUGGUGCCUGUGGUGGAAAACGAUUUUCUAGUGGUUGGGGAUGAGCUCGCGGCCUAUCAGCUUGUUGGUGGGGUAAUGGCCUACCAAGGCGGCGACGGGUAGCCGGCCUGAGAGGGUGGACGGCCACAUUGGGACUGAGAUACGGCCCAGACUCCUACGGGAGGCAGCAGUGGGGAAUAUUGCACAAUGGGCGGAAGCCUGAUGCAGCGACGCGGCGUGGGGGAUGACGGCCUUCGGGUUGUAAACUCUUUUCGGCCGCGAGGAAGCCACCUGGUUGGAAGGGUGGUGACGGUAGUGGUAGAAGAAGCACCGGCUAACUACGUG